CCCUUAGAUGUUCUGGGCCGCACGCGCGCUACACUGACACAGGCAACGAGCUUUCCUUUACCGAAAGGUAUGGGUAAUCUUUUGAAACUGUGUCGUGCUGGGGAUAGAUCCUUGCAAUUUUCUCUCUUGAACGAGGAAUUCCCAGUAAGUGCGAGUCAUCAGCUCGCGUUGAUUACGUCCCUGCCCUUUGUACACACCGCCCGUCGCUACUACCGAUUGGGAAAAUUUUAGAGAGUCCUGGACUGAUGAUUGUUCGGCUUCACGGCCUUACUUUCGUCGGGAAAGAAUUCGAUAACAUUUUUCUAGAGGAAGUAAAAGUCGUAACA
rnacentral:rRNA from 1 species